rnacentral:tRNA from 1 species
GCCUGGGUGGUGGAACUGGCAGACACAAGGGACUUAAAAUCCCUUGGAGCUUAGCUCCGUGCGGGUUCGAGUCCCGCCCUAGGCA